UACGUAGGGUGCAAGCGUUAAUCGGAAUUACUGGGCGUAAAGCGUGCGCAGGCGGUCCGUUAAGACAGAUGUGAAAUCCCCGGGCUCAACCUGGGAACUGCAUUUGUGACUGCAUAGCUGGAGUGCGGCAGAGGGGGAUGGAAUUCCGCGUGUAGCAGUGAAAUGCGUAGAUAUGCGGAGGAACACCGAUGGCGAAGGCAAUCCCCUGGGCCUGCACUGACGCUCAUGCACGAAAGCGUGGGGAGCAAACAGG
rnacentral:rRNA from 1 species